rnacentral:rRNA from 1 species
UAUGUGAUCGUCUCUCGCAUAUCAAUAAGCGGAGGAAAAGAAACUAACAAGGAUUCCCCUAGUAACGGCGAGUGAAGCGGGAAGAGCUCAAAUUUGAAAUCUUAAAGGGUUUCCCUUUACGAAUUGUAGUUUAAAGAAGUGUUUUCUGUUGAGGUUUUGGUAAAAGUUCUUUGGAAUAGGACAUCAUAGAGGGUGAGAAUCCCGUAUUUGACCUUUACUUUCAACUUUGUGAUACACUUUCAAAGAGUCGGAUUGUUUGGGAAUGCAGUCCAAAAUGGGUGGUAAAUUUCAUCUAAAGCUAAAUAUUGGCGAGAGACCGAUAGCGAACAAGUACCGUGAGGGAAAGAUGAAAAGAACUUUGAAAAGAGAGUUAAACAGUACGUGAAAUUGUCAAAAGGGAAGCGUUUGACACCAGUGUUGUUUUUCUGAAAAUCAAUUAAAGAACUGUUUAUGCUAAGUUGUUUAGACUUUAUCAGCUAUCUGUUUAGUUUUGAGCUUUUCUUUAAUGCACUUUUCAGUUAACAAGUCAACAUCAAUUUCUUUUGCUGUAAAAAAGCUUGAGGAAGGUGGCUUGAGAUUCGUCUUAAGUGUUUAUAGCCUCUUGCCUAUGCAGUCGGAGAGAUUGAGGUCUGCAGCGUAGAUCCUUCGGGGCUAAAUGCAUUUGUGCUAAGUUAUAGCAUUUUAUAGACAACUUGUUGACUAUGAUUUGUCUUGUAGCUUACUCGCUUAUGUUAUUUUACCUACGCUUAGGAUGUUGAUAUGCAUGACUGAUAU